rnacentral:misc_RNA from 1 species
CUUUUGCUCGCGCGUGCGCAGAGUGAAACACGUGUUGAAAAUGGCUACCAUCAUACCGUUUGCAAUAUCGGACAACAGUCAAUAUAGCAUCUAUUCGAGCCCUGAUGGAGUGUUGAAACUAUGGGAGGCAGAUAAUGGUGUCCUAAAGCAAGAGUACACUCCUAGUGCGCACCUGUCAGCGACGUGCACAUGUCUUUCAUGGGGACCGAAAAGAAACCUGGACACACCAGGAAGAAAGAAAAGAAGAAAAUCUGGAGGUGUAGCCAUUACAGAACAGUAUGAUUUGAUAGCGGUUGGAACCACUGCAGGAAGCAUCCUUAUAUACAGCAUCGUCAAAGGAGAUGUCAAGACUAUAAUGGAGGAAGGUCAUUCAGACGGUGUCAGUGAUUUGUGCUGGCAUCCAGAGAACAAUACCAUCUUCAGCUGUUCAUGUGAUAGGCAUAUCAUUCACUGGGAUGUAAUAUCAGGAAAAGUCAAACAUAAAUGGAAAGGUGACAGUGGAAGCAUUCACUCCAUUUGUCUCUGUGCCCAAAAUCACCUCUUGUCUUCAGGGAGAUCUAUCAAAUUGUGGGACUUAGAAACAUAUAGUGUAUUAAAGGUAUGUCAGAUAGAGGUUUGUUUGUAUUUGGUAUAUUAUAAAAUGAAAUAAAUAAUUUUUAACAAUUGGAGAAUCUAGAAAAUGGAGAAUUUUGAUUACAUAUUAACUUUAUAAGAUAAAGAAAAAUGAAUUUGAAACAGGAUAUACAAGAUGUGGAUUUACUUGACUUGCAAGAAAUUGUCAAGUUUAUUGUGAUUCAAUUGCUUUGAUAAAUCAGAUUCAUUUACUAUUUACUUGAAUCUUGUAGAAGUUUACUGGUCAUGCAACAGAAGUAUUCCGGUUACUCCCCAUACUUUCUAAUCCAACGGAGCUCCCUGAUAGCCCAGAAGGAGUGUAUUUUCUGUCGGCAGCUUUAAAUGACAGACUUGUAAAUGUUUGGCAAGUGAAUACUGCAGUGAAAGACAAAAGCUCCACAGCAACUUUCUCACUUCCAGAGGAUCCGGUCAUGUUAGAUUUGCGGAAAAACCAGGAUGAGGUACAUUUAUGCUUAUCUUGUGUUUAUAAUACAAUUGUGUGAGAAAAAUUUCAUAACUGAUCCAGUCUAAAAAUCAGAUUUGGUUUUGAGAGAUUGGGAAAGCUCAGUAGGAGAAAUGUCUAAUGUUUGAUUUGGUUU